AUAUUAAUAAGCGGAGGAAAAGAAACUAACAAGGAUUCCCCUAGUAACGGCGAGUGAAGCGGGAAGAGCUCAAGCUUAAAAUCUCUGUGCAAGUUUUGCAUGGCGAAUUGUAGUCUAUAGAGGCGUUAUCAGUGUAGUUGCUUGGGAUAAGUCUCUUGGAAAAGAGCAGCAUCGAGGGUGAUACUCCCGUUUGUGCCUGAGUGAUUAUGCGUACGAUACGUUUUCUUUGAGUCGCGUUGUUUGGGAAUGCAGCGCAAAGUAGGUGGUAAAUUCCAUCUAAAGCUAAAUAUUGGUGCGAGACCGAUAGCGCACAAGUA
rnacentral:rRNA from 1 species